rnacentral:rRNA from 1 species
AAUCAACGCUGGCGGCGUGCCUAACACAUGCAAGUCGCACGAGAAAGGGUAGCAAUACCUGAGUAAAGUGGCGCACGGGUGAGUAACACGUGACUAAUCUACCCUCGAGUGGGGAAUAACUGAGAGAAAUCUUAGCUAAUACCGCAUAACACUUACGAGUCAAAGCAGCAAUGCGCUUUGGGGGAGGAGGUCGCGGCAGAUUAGCUAGUUGGNGGGGUAAGGCCCACCAAGGCAAUGAUCUGUAUCCGGCCUGAGAGGGCGCACGGACACACUGGAACUGAAACACGGUCCAGACUCCUACGGGAGGCAGCAGUGGGGAAUUUUGCGCAAUGGGGGAAACCCUGACGCAGCAACGCCGCGUGGAGGAUGGAAAUCCC